AUUGAACGCUGGCGGAAUGCUUUACACAUGCAAGUCGAACGGCAGCACGGACUUCGGUCUGGUGGCGAGUGGCGAACGGGUGAGUAAUGUAUCGGAGCGUGCCCAGUCGUGGGGGAAAACGUAGUGAAAAUUACGCUAAUACCGCAUACGAUCUAUGGAUGAAAGCGGGGGAUCGUAAGACCUCGCGCGAUUGGAGCGGCCGAUAUCAGACUAGGUAGUUGGUGGGGUAAAGGCCCACCAAGCCAACGAUCUGUAGCUGGUCUGAGAGGACGACCAGCCACACUGGAACUGCGACACGGUCCAGACUCCUACGGGGGGCAGCAGUGGGGAAUUUUGGACAAUGGGCGAAAGCCUGAUCCAGCCAUUCCGCGUGCAGGAUGAAGGCCCUCGGGUUGUAAACUGCUUUUGUACAGAACGAAAAGGUUUCUACUAAUACUAGGAGCUCAUGACGGUACUGUAAGAAUAAGCACCGGCUAACUACGUGCCAGCCGCCGCCGUAG
rnacentral:rRNA from 1 species